AUCCAUGGUGCGCGCGCAGCAAAAAUAACACCUAGUAGCGCUCGUGUUUGAUACGUCAAAUACGCACGUUCUCAGUUAUUUCACCGUGCGAGGCGUCGGUGACAGUUGACGAUCGUGACCGAAACGCGCAGGAUAAUUGUGACGUGAUUAACUCGUUAGCCCUGUGAAUAUCGCAAAGAUCAAGUGGUUCGAACGUCGGGAAUUCUAUUGAAACCGGGUGAACCGAAUCUCCGAUCGACAACGGAUUCCGUAAAGAAUUGAUGUGACGCGAGAAAAUUUUGGAAACGAUCACCAAGGAGGAGGGGAAGGUUCAUCAACUAACAUCAGAGUCUUCCUGAUCACAAGGUGCAGCCGCCGCGUCUCCCUCCGACUUUGAUUUUCUUCUUGGUGCGUAACUUAAGCUUGCCUUGUCAAAGUCCAUCAUCAUCACUCCUAAGUCACCGCUGUAUCGAUUUUUAGCUACCU